UAGAGAGCAGCUGUUGCUUCGUGAUUAAUCUCUACCUGGAAAAUACGUGAUCAAAGUGAUUGAUAGUUGGCAUUCAGCAGGCAUUAAGUAUGCCUUAUUUACUUUGAAGAACUACAAAAUAUAGUUUUUGUCAGACAGCAUAACCAGCAGCUCUAUAGAGAUGAGAUGAUGACUUGGAAUCAAAAUAAUAAAGUCAUCAAAUAAAACAAAUGAUAUACGCAACUGAAAUAUGAUGAAGUAAAAUCAUGUAAAUAAUUGUUGGUUAAUCAGCAGUCAUCGGCAAUCACUACCAUCAUGGGACUUUUACAGAUUUUAUUCUGUGUUACAAUAUUCAACUCAAAUAAUCAAAACCGAAAGCCGAGAUAAACAAAUAAUUAACCCGAAACCCGACUCAAAGCACUAAUUGCUCAGCACUACCUAUAGCAGAGCGCUUUCCCACACCCAGGUCAUUACCACAUGGGCCAUUCUAUCCAAAAUGAUUGGGAUGGUCCUACCCCAUUGAAUUGUACAUUUAAAAUGGUUAGGUAAGGGUUAAGGUUAGGGAGGUACCAAGGAUCCCGGACAGCACUGACUCUAUCCACACGCUCAUUGUUGAAUACAACCCAAAUAAUCAAAACCUGAAUCGAAAACAAUGGUUUUUGUAUUUAUUAUAAUGAACCGAAACCCAACCAUGUCCACACGCCCAGUACUUAACUUUUCAACACACCCUCUUGACCAUAGUCCGGUCUCGGUAUCGAGCUGCAAGCUCCCUACUUCUCAAUGCGAACGUGAGUAGAUUACCUUGAAAACAACGGUCGGACAUCUAGGAAGCAGUCUCCAGUUUGUAUUAUACCUCGGUGGUGUACACGGAACAAAUAUCGACCAGAUCUUGAUCGGACGACUACAACAACGUGUUAAAGAUGUUUGAAGCUGGUGUACAAAACCGAAAGUAAAAGACGCAAAGACUCAUUGAAAUCGCAGAUGACCGCUUCUCAGACUUGCUUUCAAUGAGAAGACCUAGAAGAUCUAUAACGGAUAUUAUUAUUUAUUUUUAAUGAAAGGUGUAACCAAGGCUUCUGAGAACACAGAGAAACAUGGCUACAGUCUUCAUCUGUUCCGUCUGUACCGAAGUCUUCGUUGGACAUAUAUCGCUGAGCUGCCAGCACACCUUCUGUAGACAAUGCCUCCAGAAGUGUAUGGACUCCGGUUGCGUUAUCUGUCCGGUGUGCUGGGAUCCAAUCACGUCGGAGAACAUCAGAGUCAACAGAAUACUAAGGGACAUGGCAGACGAAGUGAGACAGAGAAGAGUUGAUCUCAGAGUGUUGAAGAGGAAUGAGGACGUUGAUGUGAAUAACUGGGAAACCUACAAGAAGAAGGAGAAUGUGAAAACAUCAAAGUCCUUUGUGAAGGAAGGCCUGGCUGCCAGAAAGACGGAGAGGAAGUCAUCUCUGACCACUGGUCCCUGGGAGGAGGGACCCUUUUAAAAAGAACGUUAUUGUCACAACCUGCUGAGGUGGUUGUUCAUCUCUUCAAAGAAGCUCCCGGUCUGAGGCACGGCAUCACUACAGUCCCUGGUUUGAAUCCAGGCUGUAUCACAUCCGGCUGUGAUUGGGAGUCCCAUAGGGUGGCGUACAAUUGCCCCAGCGUCGUCCGGGUUUGGCCGGUGUAGGUCGUCACUGUGAAUAAGAAUAUGUUCUUAACUGACUUGCCAGGUUAAAUAAAGGUUAUAAAAUAACAUUUUAAAAAGGAGGUGUUUAACCAAUCCAAUAACCAUCUGUUAC